GCUUCGCGGCGGGCGGACUGACGCGGGAGGCUCCAGUAUGACGCUUGCAUCUGUGCAAUGAGGAUGUCGCGCCGGCCGCUACCGUGAGUACACAUGCUGCUGACGGGGCCCACAGAGGACGCAAUGGAGGUCCUGCGACAGAGCGGACAGCACGCGGGCAAGAUGAGCGCCGGGAGCGGGUCUGGCGUGGCGGCGGCUGCGGCGGCGGCAGC